GAUGAACGCUGGCGGCGUGCCUAAUACAUGCAAGUCGAGCGAACAGACGAGGAGCUUGCUCCUCUGACGUUAGCGGCGGACGGGUGAGUAACACGUGGAUAACCUACCUAUAAGACUGGGAUAACUUCGGGAAACCGGAGCUAAUACCGGAUAAUAUAUUGAACCGCAUGGUUCAAUAGUGAAAGACGGGUUUGCUGUCACUUAUAGAUGGAUCCGCGCCGCAUUAGCUAGUUGGUAAGGUAACGGCUUACCAAGGCAACGAUGCGUAGCCGACCUGAGAGGGUGAUCGGCCACACGGAACUGAGACACGGUCCAGACUCCUACGGGAGGCAGCAGUAGGGAAUCUUCCGCAAUGGGCGAAAGCCUGACGGAGCAACGCCGCGUGAGUGAUGAAGGUCUUCGGAUCGUAAAACUCUGUUAUUAGGGAAGAACAAAUGUGUAAGUAACUAUGCACGUCUUGACGGUACCUAAUCAGAAAGCCACGGCUAACUACGUG
rnacentral:rRNA from 1 species